CCUACGGGAGGCAGCAGUGGGGAAUUUUGCGCAAUGGGGGAAACCCUGACGCAGCAACGCCGCGUGGAGGACGAAGGUCUUCGGAUUGUAAACUCCUUUUGCGGGGGACAAAUAGCGGCGUGAAUAACGCCGACUGAUGGUACUCCGUGAAUAAGCCACGGCUAACUUCGUGCCAGCAGCCGCGGUAAGACGAAGGUGGCGAGCGUUACUCGGAAUUACUAGGCGUAAAGCGUGGGCAGGCGGUUUGGUAAGUCUGCUGUGAAAGCCCCGGGCUCAACCCGGGGAGGUCAGUGGAUACUGCCGGACUUGGAUGUGGGAGAGGUGACUGGAAUUCCUGGUGUAGCGGUGAAAUGCGUAGAUAUCAGGAGGAACACCGAUGGCGAAAGCAGGUCACUGGACCACUAUCGACGCUCAUCCACGAAAGCUGGGGGAUCAAACAGGCUUAGAUACCCCGGUAGUC
rnacentral:rRNA from 1 species